AGUGAACGCUGGCGGUAGGCCUAACACAUGCAAGUCGAACGGCAGCACAGUAAGAGCUUGCUCUUACGGGUGGCGAGUGGCGGACGGGUGAGGAAUACAUCGGAAUCUACUUUUUCGUGGGGGAUAACGUAGGGAAACUUACGCUAAUACCGCAUACGACCUACGGGUGAAAGCAGGGGAUCUUCGGACCUUGCGCGAUUGAAUGAGCCGAUGUCGGAUUAGCUAGUUGGCGGGGUAAGGCCCACCAAGGCGACGAUCCGUAGCUGGUCUGAGAGGAUGAUCAGCCACACUGGAACUGAGACACGGUCCAGACUCCUACGGGAGGCAGCAGUGGGGAAUAUUGGACAAUGGGCGCAAGCCUGAUCCAGCCAUACCGCGUGGGUGAAGAAGGCCUUCGGGUUGUAAAGCCCUUUUGUUGGGAAAGAAAAGCAGCAGGUUAAUACCCCGCUGUUCUGACGGUACCCAAAGAAUAAGCACCGGCCAACUUCGUG
rnacentral:rRNA from 1 species